CAACAUACGUAGAAGAGUACUUGUGUUUAACUUUGAAUGUUUCAAGAAACCCAAAACUUAACACCAUGUCUUAUGACAGAGGCAUUUACUGCUAAGUACCCAUGCACUAUCCCAGAUCAUGUCACUGCACUCCAGUCUGGGCAACAGAGUGAGACUCCGUCUCAAAAAAAAAAAUAAUUUGAUCCUCAUAAAAUUCAGCAUUCCAAAGAAUUGGGGGUAGGAAACUUGAGCCCCACUUUGAGAUGGGGUGGAUUCCUCUUGAGAUACUCUACAGCACACAUACUCUUGACCUUUUCAUGUAUCUCUGUCUCCUAAUUUGGCAGGAAAUAUAGGAAAAGGAACAAGGGAAAAACAUAGUGACAGCCAGGAAUAUUGAAUGUCACCUUAU
rnacentral:lncRNA from 10 species